rnacentral:rRNA from 1 species
UGGUUUAAUUCGAAGCAACGCGAAGAACCUUACCAAGUCUUGACAUCCCACUGACCGGACAGUAAUGUGUCCUUUCCUUCGGGACAGUGGUGACAGGUGGUGCAUGGUUGUCGUCAGCUCGUGUCGUGAGAUGUUGGGUUAAGUCCCGCAACGAGCGCAACCCCUAUCCUUAGUAGCCAGCAGUAAGAUGGGCACUCUAGGGAGACUGCCAGGGAUAACCUGGA